rnacentral:rRNA from 1 species
UACGUAGGGGUGAGACGUUGUCCGGAAUUUAUUGGGCGUAAAGAGCGUGUAGGCGGCCAGGUAGGUCCGUUGUGAAAACUCGAGGCUCAACCUCGAGACGUCGGCGGAAACCCUCUGGCUAGAGUCCGGAAGAGGAGAGUGGAAUUCCUGGUGUAGCGGUGAAAUGACGCAGAUAUCAGGAGGAACACCGGUGGCGAAGGCGGGUCUCUGGGCCGAUACUGACGCUGAGGCGCGAAAGCCAGGGGAGCGAACGGG